AGAUUGAACGCUGGCGGCAUGCCUAACACAUGCAAGUCGAACGGGAGUAGCAAUACUCUAGUGGCGGACGGGUGAGGAAUACGUAGGAAUUUGCCCUUAAGUGGGGGAUAACCCGGGAAACCCGGAUUAAUACCGCAUGACCUCGAAAGAGCAAAGUGGGGGAUCGCAAGACCUCACGCUUUUGGAGAAGCCUACGUCGGAUUAGCUAGUUGGUGAGGUAAUGGCUACACCAAGGCGACGAUCCGUAACUGGUCUGAGAGGAUGAUCAGUCACACCGGAACUGAGACAACGGUCCGGACUCCUACGGGAGCAGCGAGUGGGAAUAGUUGACAAUGGGCGACAAGCCUAGACUCCAAGCAAUGCCGG
rnacentral:rRNA from 1 species